rnacentral:rRNA from 1 species
UGAGCAAUCUGCCCUUCUCUUCGGAAUAAGCGUUGGAAACGACGUCUAAUGCCGAAUACGACCUCCUUUCGUAUGAUCGGAGGUGGAAAGCUCCGGCGGAGAAGGAUGAGCUCGCGGCCUAUCAGCUAGUUGGUGUGGGUAAUGGCCCACCAAGGCGACGACGGGUAGCCGGCCUGAGAGGGUGACCUGCCACACUGGGACUGAGACACGGCCCAGACUCCGUACGGGAGGNAGCG